UACGAAGGGGGCUAGCGUUGCUCGGAAUUACUGGGCGUAAAGCGCGUGUAGGCGGGUCUUUAAGUCAGGGGUGAAAUCCUGGAGCUCAACUCCAGAACUGCCUUUGAUACUGGCGAUCUCGAGUCCGGGAGAGGUGAGUGGAACUGCGAGUGUAGAGGUGAAAUUCGUAGAUAUUCGCAAGAACACCAGUGGCGAAGGCGGCUCACUGGCCCGGUACUGACGCUGAGGUGCGAAAGCGUGGGGAGCAAACAGG
rnacentral:rRNA from 1 species